CCUACGGGGGGCAGCAGUGAGGAAUAUUGGUCAAUGGACGCAAGUCUGAACCAGCCAUGCCGCGUGCAGGAAGACGGCUCUAUGAGUUGUAAACUGCUUUUGUACGGGGGCAAACUCAGAGUCGCGUAUCUGUCUGAAAGUACCGUACGAAUAAGGAUCGGCUAACUCCGUGCCAGCAGCCGCGGUAAUACGGAGGAUGCAAGCGUUAUCCGGCUUUAUUGGGUUUAAAGGGUGCGUAGGCGGUCGGAUAAGUUAGAGGUGAAAUCCCGGGGGUCAACUUCGUAAUUGCCGCUGAUACUGGCCGGUGAGAGAGUAGGUGCGGUAGGCGGAAUGCACGGUGUAGCGGUGAAAUGCUUAG
rnacentral:rRNA from 1 species